rnacentral:rRNA from 1 species
GUGAGGAAUUUUCCGCAAUGGGCGAAAGCCUGACGGAGCAAUGCCGCGUGAAGGAUGAAGGCCUAUGGGUUGUAAACUUCUUUUCUCAGAAAAGAAUUAUGACGGUAUCUGAGGAAUAAGCAUCGGCUAACUCUGUGCCAGCAGCCGCGGUAAGACAGAGGAUGCAAGCGUUAUCCGGAAUGAUUGGGCGUAAAGCGUCUGUAGGUUGUUUAAAAAGUAUUCUGUCAAAGAUUAGGGCUUAACCCUAGAUAGGCAGAAUAAACUUUUAAGCUAGAGUUUUGUAGAGACAGAGGGAAUUCCCGGUGGAGCGGUGAAAUGCGUAGAUAUCGGGAGGAACACCAAAGGCGAAGGCACUCUGCUGGGCCAAUACUAACACUGAGAGACGAAAGCGAGGGGAGCAAAUGGGAUUAGAAACCCGUGUAGUCC